rnacentral:rRNA from 1 species
UGCCGCAUGGUUGUCGUCAGCUCGUGCCGUGAGGUGUCGGGUUAAGUCCCAUAACGAGCGCAACCCCUAUCAUUAGUUGCCAUCAGGUCAAGCUGGGGACUCUAAUGAAACUGCCUACGCAAGUAGUGAGGAAGGUGGGGAUGACGUCAAAUCAGCACGGCCCUUACGUCCAGGGCUACACACGUGCUACAAUGGCCGGUACAAAGGGCAGCUACCUGGUGACAGGAUGCUAAUCUCAAAAGCCGGUCUCAGUUCGGAUCGGAGUCUGCAACCCGACUCCGUGGAGCUGGAAUCGCUAGUAAUCGCGCAUCAGCCAUGGCGCGGUGAAUACGUUCCCGGGCCUU